CGCGGCCUAUCAGCUUGUUGGUGAGGUAAUGGCUUACCAAGGCGACGACGGGUAGCCGGCCUGAGAGGGCGACCGGCCACACUGGGACUGAGACACGGCCCAGACUCCUACGGGAGGCAGCAGUGGGGAAUAUUGCACAAUGGGGGAAACCCUGAUGCAGCGACGCCGCGUGCGGGAUGAAGGCCUUCGGGUUGUAAACCGCUUUCAGCAGGGACGAAAGUGACGGUACCUGCAGAAGAAGCACCGGCUAACUACGUGCCAGCAGCCGCGGUAAUACGUAGGGUGCAAGCGUUGUCCGGAAUUAUUGGGCGUAAAGAGCUCGUAGGCGGUCUGUCGCGUCGGAUGUGAAAGCCCGGGGCUUAACCCCGGGUCUGCAUUCGAUACGGGCAGACUAGAGUGUGGUAGGGGAGAUCGGAAUUCCUGGUGUAGCGGUGAAAUGCGCAGAUAUCAGGAGGAACACCGGUGGCGAAGGCGGAUCUCUGGGCCAUUACUGACGCUGAGGAGCGAAAGCGUGGGGAGCGAACAGGAUUAGAUACCCUGGUAGUCCACGCCGUAAACGGUGGGAACUAGGUGUUGGCGACAUUCCACGUCGUCGGUGCCGCAGCUAACGCAUUAA
rnacentral:rRNA from 1 species